UGAAAUCUCGGGGCUCAACCUCGAAACUGCGUCUGAAACUGCUAGUCUAGAAUGUCGGAGGGGGUAGGGGAAUUUCACGUGUAGGGGUAAAAUCCGUAGAGAUGUGAAGGAACACCGGGGGCGAAGGCGCCUUCCUGGACGACUACUGACGCUGAGGCGCGAAAGCGUGGGGAGCAAACAGGAUUAGAUACCCUGGUAGUCCACGCCGUAAACGAUGAACACUAGUUAUUGGGGGUAUUGACUCCCUCAGUGACGCAGCUAACGCAUUAAG
rnacentral:rRNA from 1 species